rnacentral:rRNA from 1 species
UACAUAGCGUGAGGAAGGCAGACCCAGGGAACUGAAACAUCUAAGUACCUGGAGGAAGAGAAAGAAAAAUCGAUUUCCUGAGUAGCGGCGAGCGAAACGGAAAGAGCCCAAACCAAGAAGCUUGCUUCUUGGGGUUGUAGGACACUCUAUACGGAGUUACAAAAGAAAGUUAUAAAUGAAGCGGUCUGGAAAGGCCCGCCAAAGACGGUAACAGCCCGGUAGUUGAAAUGGCUUUCCCUCCAGAGUGGAUCCUGAGUACGGCGGAACACGUGAAAUUCCGUCGGAAUCCGGGAGGACCAUCUCCCAAGGCUAAAUACUCCCUAGUGACCGAUAGUGAACCAGUACCGUGAGGGAAAGGUGAAAAGCACCCCGGAAGGGGAGUGAAACAGUUCCUGAAACCGUGUGCCUACAAGUAGUUAGAGCCCGUUAAUGGGUGAUAGCGUGCCUUUUGUAGAAUGAACCGGCGAGUUACGAUUUGUUGCAAGGUUAAGCGGAAAAAGCGGAGCCGUAGCGAAAGCGAGUCUGAAUAGGGCGCAUAAGUAACAGGUCGUAGACCCGAAACCAGGUGAUCUACCCAUGUCCAGGAUGAAGGUAAGGUAAUACUUACUGGAGGUCCGAACCCACGCACGUUGAAAAGUGCGGGGAUGAGGUGUGGGUAGCGGAGAAAUUCCAAUCGAACUUGGAGAUAGCUGGUUCUCUCCGAAAUAGCUUUAGGGCUAGCCUCGAGGUAAAGAGUCAUG